GACGAACGCUGGCGGCGUGCUAAUACAUGCAAGUAGAACGCUGAAGAGAGGAGCUUGCUCUUCUGGAUGAGUUGCGAACGGGUGAGUAACGCGUAGGUAACCUGCCUUGUAGCGGGGGAUAACUAUUGGAAACGAUAGCUAAUACCGCAUAACAAUGAGUGACACAUGUCAUUUAUUUGAAAGGGGCAAUUGCUCCACUACAAGAUGGACCUGCGUUGUAUUAGCUAGUAGGUGAGGUAACGGCUCACCUAGGCGACGAUACAUAGCCGACCUGAGAGGGUGAUCGGCCACACUGGGACUGAGACACGGCCCAGACUCCUACGGGAGGCAGCAGUAGGGAAUCUUCGGCAAUGGGGGCAACCCUGACCGAGCAACGCCGCGUGAGUGAAGAAGGUUUUCGGAUCGUAAAGCUCUGUUGUAAGUCAAGAACGAGUGUGAGAGUGGAAAGUUCACACUGUGACGGUAGCUUACCAGAAAGGGACGGCUAACUACGUGCCAGCAGCCGCGGUAAUACGUAGGUCCCGAGCGUUGUCCGGAUUUAUUGGGCGUAAAGCGAGCGCAGGCGGUUUGAUAAGUCUGAAGUUAAAGGCUGUGGCUCAACCAUAGUUCGCUUUGGAAACUGUCAAACUUGAGUGCAGAAGGGGAGAGUGGAAUUCCAUGUGUAGCGGUGAAAUGCGUAGAUAUAUGGAGGAACACCGGUGGCGAAAGCGGCUCUCUGGUCUGUAACUGACGCUGAGGCUCGAAAGCGUGGGGAGCGAACAGG
rnacentral:rRNA from 1 species